rnacentral:tRNA from 1 species
GUCCCUGUAGCUGAGAAGGUUGUAGCGCGACGCUGAAAACGUCGAGACGCACGUUCGAUUCGUGCCGGGGACACCA